rnacentral:rRNA from 1 species
GUGAAGUCCGUGCGAGCAGCCGCGGGAAUACGGAGGGUGAGAGGGUUAUCCGUAGUUAUUGGGUUUAAAGGGUCCGUAGGCGGAGUUAUAAGUCAGUGGGGAAAGCCUGUCGCUUAACGAUAGAACUGCCAUUGAUACUGUAAGUCUUGAGUAUAAUUGAGGUAGCUGGAAUAAGUAGUGUAGCGGUGAAAUGCAUAGAUAUUACUUAGAACACCAAUUGCGAAGGCAGGUUACCAAGUUAUAACUGACGCUGAGGGACGAAAACGUGGGGAGCGAGCAGGAUUAGAUACCCGGGUAGUC